rnacentral:rRNA from 1 species
UUUGAUCCUGGCUCAGGAUGAACGCUGGCGGCGUGCCUAACACAUGCAAGUCGAACGGACCUUCGGGUCAGUGGCGGACGGGUGAGUAACACGUAGCUAACCUGCCCUCAAGCGCGGGAUAACGGUGCGAAAGCGCUGCUAAUACCGCAUAAGCUCACGAGUUGUAGAGGCUAGUGAGAAAAGCGUAUACGCUUGAGGAGGGGGCUGCGACCCAUCAGGUAGAUGGUGCGGUAACGGCGCACCAUGCCGACGACGGGUAGGGGGCCUGAGAGGGUGAUCCCCCACACUGGGACUGAGACACGGCCCAGACUCCUACGGGAGGCAGCAGUGAGGAAUAUUGGUCAAUGGGGGCAACCCUGAACCAGCAACGCCGCGUGGGUGAAGAAGGCUUUCGGGUCGUAAAGCCCUUUUGUAGGUGACGAGGAAGGACGGUAGCCUACGAAUAAGUGUCGGCUAACUACGUGCCAGCAGCCGCGGUAAAACGUAGGACACAAGCGUUAUCCGGAAUUACUGGGCGUAAAGCGCCAGCAGGCGGGCGAUGUAAGUCAAUGAUGAAAACGCACGGCUCAACCGGGCGCGGUUCAAUGAUACUGCAUUGCUAGAGGGAGAUAGAGGCGAGUGGAAUUCCGCGUGUAGUGGUGAAAUGCGUAGAGAUGCGGAGGAACACCAGUGGCGAAGGCGGCUCGCUGGGUCUCACCUGACGCUGAGAGGCGAAAGCAUGGGGAGCGAACGGGAUUAGAAACCCCGGUAGUCCAUGCCGUAAACGAUGUACGCUAGAUGUGGGGAAGUCGAAAGACUUUUCUGUGUCGAAGCUAACGCGAUAAGCGUACCGCCUGGGGAGUACGGUCGCAAGGCUAAAACUCAAAGGAAUUGACGGGGGCCCGCACAAGCAGCGGAGCGUGUGGUUUAAUUCGAGGCUACGCGAAAAAACCUUACCUGGGUUUGACAUGGCAUCGCACGAGGUUGAAAGACUGAGGGUCCUUCGGGACGGUGUCACAGGUGCUGCAUGGCUGUCGUCAGCUCGUGUCGUGAGAUGUUCGGUUAAGUCCGAAAACGAGCGCAACCCCCGGCGUGUGUUACACGUGUCACGCGCUACUGCCGGCGGCAAGCCGGAGGAAGGUGGGGAUGAUGUCAAGUCAGCAUGGCCUAUAUAUCCAGGGCGACACACACGCUACAAUGGGCGGUACAAUGGGACGCGAAGUUGCGAGAUGGAGCCAAUCCUACCAAAGCCGUUCGUAGUUCGGAUUGCAGGCUGCAACCCGCCUGCAUGAAGUUGGAGUUGCUAGUAACCGCGCAUCAGCAUGGUGCGGUGAAUACGUUCCCGGGCCUUGUACACACCGCCCGUCACGUCAUGGGAGUUGGUCAUGCCUGAAGUCGGGAAGGUAACCGCAAGGAGCCUACCGCCGAAGGCAGGGCGGAUGACUGGGACGAAGUCGUAACAAGGUAACC